UCACCGCUUGCGCGGGCAGUCUCACUAGAGUGCCCGACAUUACUCGCUGGCAACUAACGAUAAGGGUUGCGCUCGUUGCGGGACUUAACCCAACAUCUCACGACACGAGCUGACGACAGCCAUGCAGCACCUCCGCAGCGGUUCUUGCGAAAAGGGAUAUUUCUAUCCCGGUCCACUGCGCUUCGAGCCCAGGUAAGGUUCCUCGCGUUGCGUCGAAUUGAACCACAUGCUCCACCGCUUGUGCGGGCCCCCGUCAAUUCCUUUGAGUUUCAGCCUUGCGACUGUACUCCCCAGGCGGCAUAUUUAACGCGUUAGCUCCGGCACGGACAGAAUGAACUGCCCACACCAAAUAUGCAUCGUUUAGGGCGUGGACUAC
rnacentral:misc_RNA from 1 species